AACGUAGGAGACAAACGUUAUCCGGAGUUACUGGGCGUAAAGGGCGUGUAGGCGGUUCGUUAAGUCUGGCGUGAAAGCUCUCGGCUAAACCGGGAGAGGUCGUUGGAUACUGGCGGACUAGAGGACGGUAGAGGCGUGUGGAAUUCCGGGUGUAGUGGUGAAAUGCGUAGAUAUCGAGAGGAACACCAGUGGCGAAGGCGAGUCCCUGGACAGAUCCUGACGCUGAGGCACGAAAGCUAGGGGAGCAAACAGG
rnacentral:rRNA from 1 species